rnacentral:rRNA from 1 species
CUGGCGGCGUGCCUAAUACAUGCAAGUCGAGCGGACAGAAGGGAGCUUGCUCCCGGAUGUUAGCGGCGGACGGGUGAGUAACACGUGGGUAACCUGCCUGUAAGACUGGGAUAACUCCGGGAAACCGGAGCUAAUACCGGAUAGUUCCUUGAACCGCAUGGUUCAAGGAUGAAAGACGGUUUCGGCUGUCACUUACAGAUGGACCCGCGGCGCAUUAGCUAGUUGGUGAGGUAACGGCUCACCAAGGCGACGAUGCGUAGCCGACCUGAGAGGGUGAUCGGCCACACUGGGACUGAGACACGGCCCAGACUCCUACGGGAGGCAGCAGUAGGGAAUCUUCCGCAAUGGACGAAAGUCUGACGGAGCAACGCCGCGUGAGUGAUGAAGGUUUUCGGAUCGUAAAGCUCUGUUGUUAGGGAAGAACAAGUGCAAGAGUAACUGCUUGCACCUUGACGGUACCUAACCAGAAAGCCACGGCUAACUACG